rfam:NL63-related bat coronavirus strain BtKYNL63-9a, complete genome.
GAGCAAGGGGCUCUAGUGCAGCUCGACUAGAGCCCUGUAAUGGCACGGACAUAGAUAAGUGUGUUCGUGCUUUUG